rnacentral:misc_RNA from 1 species
CGCAUAUUGCGCCCUCUGGCAUUCCGGGGGGCAUACCUGUUCGAGCGUCAUUACACCCUUCAAGCGCUGCUUGGUAUUGGGCUUUCGCCGGCAGGCGUGCCUGAAAAUCAGUGGCGGCCCGGUGCGGCUUCGAGCGUAUUGAAUCUCCUGUCGCUCUGGUAGACCGUCCCGCGGCCUGCCGACCCGUCCUAUAUGGAUUUCGUUUAAUUGACCUCGGAUCAGGUAGGGAUACCCCUGAACUUAA